rnacentral:rRNA from 1 species
ACACAUGCAGUCGAGCGCCCUUUCGGGGGAGCGGCGGACGGGUGAGUAACGCGUGGGAAUAUGCCCUUCUCUACGGAAUAGCCUCGGGAAACUGAGAGUAAUACCGUAUACGCCCUUUGGGGGAAAGAUUUAUCGGGGAAGGAUUAGCCCGCGUUGGAUUAGGUAGUUGGUGGGGUAAUGGCCUACCAAGCCGACGAUCCAUAGCUGGUUUGAGAGGAUGAUCAGCCACACUGGGACUGAGACACGGCCCAGACUCCUACGGGAGGCAGCAGUGGGGAAUCUUAGACAAUGGGGGCAACCCUGAUCUAGCCAUGCCGCGUGAGUGUUGAGGGCCUGCCCCCUGUGAAGCUCUUUUAGCUGGGAAGAAAAUAACGAUACCA